UACAGAGGUGGCAAGCGUUGUUCGGAAUUACUGGGCGUAAAGCGCGUGUAGGCGGCUCUUCAAGUCAGACGUGAAAGCCCCAGGCUCAACCUGGGAACUGCGUUUGAUACUGUCGAGCUAGAGUGUGGAAGGGGCGAUUGGAAUUCCGUGUGUAGCGGUGAAAUGCGUAGAUAUACGGAGGAACACCAGAGGCGAAGGCGGAUCGCUGGGCCAACACUGACGCUGAGACGCGAAAGCUAGGGUAGCAAACAGG
rnacentral:rRNA from 1 species